GUGCGUGCAUGCAUUGCAGAGCAAAUCAGAGGCAAAAAUUUCCCGGGUUUUCCUCCCCCUUCCCAGGCUCUUUUGGGAGCACAGGAGUGAACAGAGGGAUUGCUAUAGGGCUGAUCUUGCUGGAGGGGCUGCUCCCUCUCCACAGGUACAGCAGGACCCUGCAAGCAGGCUGGGACUUAGGGGAGACGGCAGGGGAGAUGGCAGGACCCAAGUCCCUGUGCGGAGACCGGACGCUUUCUUCCACCUCGGGGCUUCCUGUUUGAAACGCUACAAAUUGGAGACAGCAGCCUUGGCAUUCUAGGACUUAAGUCAUGAAGUCAGCAAGGGAAAAACCCCCAAAGUGCCCAGCUGUAGCAAUCACAGAUUCAAGAAAAGUGGUUGCAAAAGUGCACAAAAAGCACUAAGCAAAAAUGGCCUGAAAGGAUUCAAGAAAAGUGCUUGUGAAAGAGCACACAAAGCAUCAGAAAACUGGCCUGAAAG
rnacentral:lncRNA from 1 species